AACAAGAUCACUUGCCUUAUAUGAACGAUACAGGUGAAAAGCUUUCCAGACAUAAAGGAAAGUCGUUGGCGCAGAGGAGAUUUCCUCAGAUGUCAGUUUUAAGAUUUGAGAAGUAAAGAGAGCAGAAGGUGGAAGAUGACUAGGCAGAUCCCAUGGGAAGGUGAGGACCUGCACACAGCAAGGAGACGCAUGCACGCCACGCCAACAGCCCCAGACGCAAGAACUACCCUCAGGCUUAGAAUAUCCCUUGACUUCCAGAAAUGUGGCAAGCAUUGCACACAGCAGAAGCGAUGACCAGCGGAUGCUGCAUUUACCUGAAU